rnacentral:rRNA from 1 species
UACAGAGGGUGCGAGCGUUAAUCGGAAUUACUGGGCGUAAAGCGCGCGUAGGCGGCUUUGCAAGUCGAGUGUGAAAUCCCCGGGCUCAACCUGGGAACUGCAUUUGGGACUGCAAGGCUAGAGUACGGCAGAGGGGGGUAGAAUUCCUGGUGUAGCAGUGAAAUGCGUAGAUAUCAGGAGGAAUACCGAUGGCGAAGGCAGCCCCCUGGGUCGAUACUGACGCUCAUGCACGAAAGCGUGGGGAGCAAACAGG